rnacentral:tRNA from 2 species
GCCGGCGUGGCGGAACUGGCAGACGCGACGGACUCAAAAUCCGUUGCCCGCAAGGGCGUGUGGGUUCGACCCCCUCCGCCGGUA